GACGGCGCAGCGGGGCCGGUGCGUGGUUGGUGACUUUCUCUCCAGAUGCUAAGGUGCCUGGAUCCCUGGCGCAGGCAGUUGCUGAGCUGCAGCUGGAGUAGACUGUGCCUUCUGAAGCACUCUCUGUUUACAAUGAAGUUGCAAUCUCCAGAGUUCCAGUCACUUUUCACAGAAGGCUUGAAGAGUCUGACAGAAUUAUUCAUCAAAGAAAAUCAUGAGUUAAGAAUAGCAGGAGGAGCAGUGAGGGAUUUAUUAAGUGGAGUAAAGCCACAGGAUGUGGAUUUUGCUACCACUGCUACCCCUGCUCAAAUGAAGGAGCUGUUUCAGUCGGUCGGCGUUCGUAUGAUCAACAACAAAGGAGAAAAGCACGGGACGAUCACUGCCAGGCUUCAUGAAGAAAAUUUUGAAAUUACUACAUUACGGAUUGACGUUGCCACUGAUGGAAGACAUGCUGAGGUCGAAUUCACAACUGACUGGCAGAAAGAUGCUGAACGCAGAGAUCUCACUAUAAAUUCUAUGUUUUUAGGUUUCGAUGGUACUUUAUUUGACUACUUUAAUGGUUAUGAAGAUUUAAAAAAUAAGAAAGUUAGAUUUGUUGGACAAGCUAAACAGAGGAUACAAGAAGAUUAUCUUCGAAUUUUAAGAUAUUUCAGGUUUUAUGGGAAAAUUGUAGAUACACCUGGUGACCACGAUCCUGAGACUUUGGAAGCAAUUGCAGAAAAUGCAAAAGGCUUGGCUGGAAUAUCAGGAGAGAGGAUUUGGGUGGAACUGAAAAAAAUUCUUACUAGUAACCACGUACAUCAUUUGAUUCACCUCAUCUAUGACCUUGAUGUGGCUCCUUACAUAGGCUUACCUGCUAAUGCAAGUUUAGAAGAAUUUAACAAAGUCAGUAAAAAUGUUGAAGGUUUUUCCCCAAAGCCAAUGACUCUCUUGACCUCACUGUUCAAAGUACAGGAUGAUGUCACAAAAUUGGAUCUGAGGUUGAAGAUUUCAAAAGAAGAGAAGAAUCUCGGUUUAUUUAUAGUUAAAAACAGGAAAGAUUUAAUUAAAGCAACAGAUAGUUCAGAACCUUUGAAACCCUAUCAAGACUUCAUUAUAGAUUCUAGAGAAUCUGAUGCAACUGCUCGUGUGUGUGAACUCCUCAAGUACCAAGGAGAGCACGGUCUUCUGAAGGAGAUGCAGCAGUGGUCCAUUCCUCCAUUUCCUGUAAGUGGCCAUGACAUCAGAAAAGUGGGCAUUUCUUCUGGAAAAGAAAUUGGGGCUCUCUUACAGCAGUUGAGAGAACAGUGGAAGAAAAGUGGUUACCAAAUGGAAAAAGAUGAACUGCUAAGUUACAUAAAGAAGACCUAAAAUUGAUGAGAGCUGGCUACGAAAAAAGCAGAAACGUUUUGCCACUCAUAGCAUCUUUGUGCGCUACUGGCAAAUAGCAAUUUUGGACCUUGAUAAAACAAUUUUGAAAAGCAUAUUUCUGUUAAAGCCCCGCUAAGAGGAAGUGUGACAGACAAACACUCAGUGUACAAACAGGGGCUAUGUUGCAAGAAAGGGAGCCUCAGAAACGACUGCACACAGGCAAAACCAAAAAAAAGUGACCACCACCACAUUACCCAGGAAACCAGCUGUGCUCUGUAGAAGGCCGGCCGAUCAGAUUCAAGUUGCAAGCCUUAUACACGGUAAGCGUCUCAUGCACGUAUCCGUGAGGAUUCACAUAAGCUGCCAUCGGCCCACAUAAGGAUAAACUAAAACAGAGAAUCAGCACAGAGGAUAAGUCAAGUCAAAACGGGGUGGGGUGGAAAUAACAUAUUUUAAAAGUUCACCAAGAAACAAGGUUCUAAGAGCUAUAGUUUUUAACCUUUUAGUUAAAACUAAUAAUAAUAAGAGGUUGGCAGUCAGCCUAGUUUUAUUUGGUCUAAAUGUUUUUCCAUGAUGACAAAAAGGAAAAAAUACUGCUAGUUUUUAAAAUCUUCCUCAAGAUAGACAUUGUAAAAUAUAUGGACUCAACUUCCCCUAAAGGAGCCUGAGAGGGGAAGGCCAAUGACAAGUUUCCACUUGGUCAUUCUUGGGCAUCUGAGUACUCUGCAAACAGCAGUUCUUCCCUUCUUGAUUUAUAAUGACUUUUUGUCAGAAAAGCAUCAGUACAUGUUCAGAAGCAUGUCCUCCUUUAUCUUUGACGCUAUGUGGCGAAACUGAUAUUUGAGUGAAAUAUCAUGGUAGGUAGGCACUAAGAAGAUAUCCUCUAAUUGACAGAUUUUCAACAAGGAGGUGGGGGUGGGGGAGGAGAGAACUGCUCAGCUGUUUUACUUCACCAUGCUCAUUACCUAUGAAAAAUCCCUUACAUACCCCCCACUGUUGUUCUGGCCAACAUGGAGUUAAUUCCCCCCUAUUUCAUUUGCUGAGUAUUUGUAAUUUAAUGGAGGGAAAUAUAUGGAGAACCGAAAUACGGUCUUGCCUGUAAUUCUGUUAUGGCAGUUGGAAAAACGUAUUCAGAUCUAUACUAAAAAUGUAAUAAAGAUCUCACCUGAAUAUUU